GUUCCUGAAGCGCAAUGGAUUGCGUGUUGGACUUCUAAUUCAAAGGUCGUGUGUUUAAACCCCACCUGGGAUU